ACUACGGGAUGCAGCAGUGGGGAAUAUUGGGCAAUGGGCGCAAGCCUGACCCAGCAACGCCGCGUGAAGGAAGAAGGCCUUCGGGUUGUAAACUUCUUUUGUCAGGGACGAAGAAAGUGACGGUACCUGACGAAUAAGCCACGGCUAACUACGUGCCAGCAGCCGCGGUAAUACGUAGGUGGCAAGCGUUAUCCGGAUUUACUGGGGGUAAAGGGGGCGCAGACGGCAAAGCAAGACAGGAGGGAAAGUCCGGGGCCCAACCCCGGGACUGCUCUUUGAACUGCAUGGCUGGAGUACAGGAGGGGAAGGCGGAAUUCCUAGUGUAGCGGUGAAAGGCGUAGAUAUUAGGAGGAACACCGGUGGCGAAGGCGGCCUGCUGGACUGUGACUGACGUUGAGGCCCGAAGGCGUGGGGAGCAAACAGGAUUAGAUACCCGAGUAGUC
rnacentral:rRNA from 1 species